rnacentral:rRNA from 1 species
CUGACGUUAAGUUGAAGGGCCGCGGUAUUUUGACCGUGCAAAGGUAGCAUAAUCAUUAGUUCUUUAAUUGUGAUCUGGAAUGAAUGGCUUGACGAGGCGCAAGCUGUCUUAGUGUUGAAUGUUUUAUUGAAUUUGGUCUUUGAGUUAAAAUUCUUAGAUGUUUUUAUGGGACGAGAAGACCCUAUAGAGUUUAACAUUUGGUUUAUUUAUUUGGUUGUUUGUUUGUUUUGUUGGUAAGUGAGCUUUUUGUUUUGUUGGGGUGAUGAGAGGAAUGAUUUAACUCCUCUUGGUUUUGGUUAUAUUGAUUUAUAGUUAUUUGAUCCAUUUAUUUUGAUUAUAAGACUAAAUUACCUUAGGGAUAACAGCGUAAA